ensembl:lncRNA
GGCAGCAGGCAGAGACAAUCCAUCGCCGCCAACCGGCGAUUGAUUGCUUGGGGCUGAGAGCGAGGGCGGGGGAGAGCCUCCGCUGCGGGGCGGGGACCCGCCGGGCGCGAGCCUGCCGGCGCUGCGCGAGGGGGCGGGGCGGCGGCGGGGGCCCGCGACCGUUAAAGGCGUUGGAAGGCGGCGCGCGCGGGAGCGGCGCCUCAGGGCGGGUGGGGCGCUUGCAGCGGGAGGCGCUGCGCUGCCAGUAAUGUGCUUGUCACCUCGGAGACCAUUAAGAUAAUUUGGUAGUAAUGACUUGGUAAUAAUAUUUGUAUAGCUGAGCUAGAUAGCGUCCUUUUGUGUCAGUAGUGAGGAACGGUUACUGCUCUUAGGCUCUUUKUCUGGUGUUGAACUUCUCGUGUGCCCCAAAAUGUUUGAAACUCAGUCCCUCARACUUUUUAGGGAAGGUAUAUUUUCUAGUUAGUUGCCUGGUUUUGUAGUCUUUAAAAUAAAGCUGAGUUUUGAGUCAAAGUUAUAUUCUCUUUUCAAGUUUGUUAGUUGUUAUUCUAAUUGUGACUCUCCCAAAUCUUAAUAAAUUCCAUUUCAGUUGUAUGUGUAUUCUCCAAGCCCCAUCUGCAUUGUUUUACUAGUUUAAGUCAGUAAAUACAAGUAGCUUUAUCUGUUACUGUGAGAGUUUAGUUUUUCUGAACUGGUUUCCUGGAAAUCUUGUUUCCCAGCUCACAUCUGAGGGUAAGCAGGCCUUCCGUGUCAGAUGGGGACUCCUGCAGCGUGGCCUGUGUGCCCAAAUGUACUUGCUCCAAGUAAGGAGGCUUCCCUCUUUAAUAUGCCGGCACGCCUGUGGCUUUUGUCUCUAAGGAAGGAAGGUGGUUCUGGGGCAAAGCAUGCAUUCUUGCAGUGAAGAGGGAACUGCGUUGUCUGCUACCCGUAUAGCGGUGAUGAAAAACUUUGUUCUUCGGAGGCGUUGAAGGAAAGUAGAAUGCAGCGUGGAUUGCAUUUGAAGUUCAUCUGAUUUACGUA